UGUGGGGUGUUGCCGUGAGUUGGGGAUGAAAGAAAGCUGCAUAGAAGAGAGGAGUUCUGGAUGCCACCCCGGGAGAGGAGAGGGGAGGGCCCUGGCCACAUGAGAGGAGUGCCACCUUCUGCCUUGCAUUUGGCCAGGAACAGCGUCCCCUGGUGUGGUCCCCGGCAGGAGUGGAGCUGGAGGGAGCCCUGCAGAGGCGCGGAGGCGGAAGCGAGCUGGCGCCUCCAGAGCGACCCCAGGAGUGGCUUCACCUCUGAGCCCUGGGGAGAAUCACAGCUCCCACCACCUGGGCUUGUGGUCUGGUACAGGACUCCAGGUGACAAGCUCAGAGAGCGCCGGGGACCUGCGGAGGCCUCGAUAAACCUACCAUCGUCCUAACUCACCUCGCCCUCUGCCAGCCUGUCUCCUCCCCUACCACCUGCUGAGAAUCCAGACACCCAUCCCAUGGGAGCAGCGUGAGGUUUAACCCCAGGCAGACCCAGCGAAGGCGCCCACGAUGCCCAGCAGCUAGGCCGUGUUGGGCACCUGUCCUGCACCAAGCACCGCUCACAGAAAAGGCGGUUGAAUGUCAGAACCACCUGGGGGAAGGCGGGUAUUGCCAGCCCCCGUUUAGAAAGAGAUCACGGCUUCAGAGAGGUCAUCCAGCCAGCAGUACCAAAGCUGGAGUUUGAACCCCGGGGGCCCCCAAGCCUCGGGGGUGAGCAGUGGUUGUCUGUUGUCUAUGAGACACAUGGCUGUUUCCAGAAGGCAGGGCUGACUACACAGUGUGGCCGCAGGUGCUGGAAGCCUAGAGCCUGGCUGGGCAGAGGGAGAUGCUCAUGGAGCUGCAGGUAGCUGGCCCAGCAGCGGGUCCCGGCCCCAGCACUCCCUUGUCCCUGCAACACCCUCACCCUCAGCCCCCCACUCACAAACCCCACCUGUAAGGCCUCCAACAUCCAAGUAUGGGGACAAGGGGCCAUGCUGGGACCCGCUUUCUCUGCAGCCUUGCAUCUGGACUAUGGCCCUGUGGAAAGGGAGCUCAUAAAGAACCUAAUUCUGCCACUUUUCCCUGGUACCGAGCAUGUAUCAGAUAUCUGGUGCUGCGUAACAAAUGACCCCAAAACUUAGCGGCUUAAAACAACACACAUUUACUAUCUCACAGUUUCUUAGGUCAGGAAUCCAGGCUUGGGUUAGCUGGGUCUUUGGUCUCAGGGUUCCUCACAAGCCAGAGACAGAAGGGCUGAGCCCAA